GACCGGUUAAUAACAAGUGUAAUUAGGAUUGUGUAACAAAAUGCACCCAGAUACGUAAACAACCAAAAAUGAAAAAUAAACGUUGCUUUUUCUUGCCCACUCUGCCUUGAGACAUUAAGCCCAAGCUGCCACUGUCUAGACUAAUUGCACCAUUUUCUAUAACACUCGGACAUUUUUUCGAGCUAUUUGAAGAAUGGAAAAAAUGCAUCUCUGUGUUGGUGUUGCAUUUCUUGCUGCUGAAUCAUGGAUAAAACCUUCCCAAUUGAGGGUAAAGGAUCAAGGAGCAUAACCUGGUCUCAUGAAUUCGUGCAUGAAUCAUUUAAACCCAUCAAGAACUGUAUCACACAAUCCCUUUGGUAUCUGUUAGUAAGUGUAGUUAACUUUCCACAGGUGCAGUCAGGCAAAGGGUCGAACACAUUGAGUUCAUCCCAAAUUGAUUUCAACUUCCCAUAAUAAACACUUAUCGAAUCUUGCCCCUGUUGCAAGCUUGCUAGAGCUUUCUUGAGUUGGAAGAUCUGCGGACCAUUUUGCUGAGUAAACCGCUCCUUCAGUUCAUCCCAGAGCUCAGCAGCAUC
rnacentral:lncRNA from 1 species